rnacentral:rRNA from 1 species
ACACGACUACAUUAGAUACCCCCGUAGUCCUAGCCGUAAACGAUACUCGCUAGGUGUCGGCCACGGUGCGACCGUUGUCGGUGCCGUAGGGAAGCCGUGAAGCGAGCCACCUGGGAAGUACGGCCGCAAGGCUGAAACUUAAAGGAAUUGGCGGGGGAGCACAACAACGAGUGGAGCUUGCGGUUUAAUUGGAUUCAACGCCGGAAAUCUUACCGGGACCGACAGCAACAUGAAGGCCAAGCUGAAGACUUUGCCGGAUUUAGCUG